rnacentral:tRNA from 1 species
AGUGUAUAGUUCAGUGGUAGAGUGCUUCCCUAGCAUGUAUGAGGUCUUGGGUUCCAUACCCAGCACUG